UACUAGAGUAGCACUUGCAUAUCAAUAAGCGGAGGAAAAGAAACUAACAAGGAUUCCCCUAGUAACGGCGAGUGAAGCGGGAAGAGCUCAAAUUUGAAAUCUUAAAGGGUUUCCCUUUACGAAUUGUAGUUUAAAGAAGUGUUUUCUGUUGAGGUUUUGGUAAAAGUUCUUUGGAAUAGGACAUCAUAGAGGGUGAGAAUCCCGUAUUUGACCUUUACUUUCAACUUUGUGAUACACUUUCAAAGAGUCGGAUUGUUUGGGAAUGCAGUCCAAAAUGGGUGGUAAAUUUCAUCUAAAGCUAAAUAUUGGCGAGAGACCGAUAGCGAACAAGUACCGUGAGGGAAAGAUGAAAAGAACUUUGAAAAGAGAGUUAAACAGUACGUGAAAUUGUCAAAAGGGAAGCGUUUGACACCAGUGUUGUUUUUCUGAAAAUCAAUUAAAGAACUGUUUAUGCUAAGUUGUUUAGACUUUAUCAGCUAACUGUUUAGUUUUGAGCUUUUCUUUAAUGCACUUUUCAGUUAACAAGUCAACAUCAAUUUCUUUUGCUGUAAAAAAGCUUGAGGAAGGUGGCUUGAGAUUCGUCUUAAGUGUUUAUAGCCUCUUGCCUAUGCAGUCGGAGAGAUUGAGGUCUGCAGCGUAGAUCCUUCGGGGCUAAAUGCAUUUGUGCUAAGUUAUAGCAUUUUAUAGACAACUUGUUGACUAUGAUUUGUCUUGUAGCUUACUCGCUUAUGUUAUUUUACCUACGCUUAGGAUGUUGAGCGCAUGUCUCUCUCU
rnacentral:rRNA from 1 species